rnacentral:rRNA from 1 species
UACAGGGGGUGCGAGCGUUGUUCGGAAUUAUUGGGCGUAAAGGGCGCGUAGGCGGUGCGGUAAGUCACCUGUGAAAUCUCCUGGCUCAACUGGGAGCUUGCAGGCGAAACUGCCGUGCUGGAGUGUGGGAGAGGUGCGUGGAAUUCCUGGUGUAGCGGUGAAAUGCGUAGAUAUCAGGAGGAACACCUGUGGCGAAAGCGGCGCACUGGACCACAACUGACGCUGAGGCGCGAAAGCUAGGGGAGCAAACAGG